AGUGGGGUAGGUUAUUUUUGACUGUUUGUUUUCAAAACAUUAGGUGAUAUUUUUUAUCUCCUGCUG
rnacentral:tRNA from 1 species